UCAUAGAGUAAGAUUUGUUCU
rnacentral:piRNA from 1 species